CUACGGGCUGCAGCAGUGGGGAAUAUUGGACAAUGGGGGAAACCCUGAUCCAGCAAUGCCGCGUGUGUGAAGAAGGCCUGCGGGUUGUAAAGCACUUUCGGUUGGGAGGACUGCUUCUAGCACUAAUAUUGUUGGAAGUUGACGUUACCUUCAGAAGAAGCACCGGCUAACUCCGUGCCAGCAGCCGCGGUAAUACGGAGGGUGCAAGCGUUAAUCGGAAUUACUGGGCGUAAAGCGCGCGUAGGCGGCUAGAUCAGUCGGGUGUGAAAGCCACGGGCUUAACCUGGGAACUGCAUCCGAUACUGUCUAGCUUGAGUACAGGAGAGGAGAGUGGAAUUCCACAUGUAGCGGUGAAAUGCGUAGAUAUGUGGAGGAACACCAAUGGCGAAGGCAGCUCUCUGGCCUGAUACUGACGCUGAGGUCCGAAAGCGUGGGGAGCAAACAGGAUUAGAUACCCCAGUAGUC
rnacentral:rRNA from 1 species